GGACAGAUGUCCGAGUUGGUCGAAGGAGCACGAUUGGAAAUCGUGUAGGCGGGGAUAACUCGUCUCGUGGGUUCGAAUCCCACUCUGUCCG
rnacentral:tRNA from 1 species